AACGCGAAGAACCUUACCUACUCUUGACGAACUUGGGACCUAGCUGAGAGGCUGGGGUGCCGCAAGGAGCCAAGUAACAGGUGCUGCAUGGCUGUCGUCAGCUCGUGUUGUGAGAUGUUGGGUUAAGUCCCGUAACGAGCGCAACCCUUGUCCUUAGUUGCUACAGGUAAAGCUGAGCACUCUAAGGAGACUGCCGGUUUUUAGCCGGAGGAAGGUGGGGACGACGUCAAGUCAUCAUGGCCUUUAUGAGUAGGGCAACACACGUGCUACAAUGGGGCGUACAGAGGGUAGCGAAGCCGCGAGGUGGAGCCAAUCUCUUAAAGCGUCUCGUAGUCCGGAUUGGAGUCUGCAACUCGACUCCAUGAAGCUGGAAUCGCUAGUAAUCGCGAAUCAGAACGUCGCGGUGAAUACGUUCCCGGGCCUUGUACACACCACACGC
rnacentral:rRNA from 1 species